rnacentral:rRNA from 1 species
CGAGAUCAAUCGGGUGACUGGAGUUCAGACGUGUGCUCUUCCGAUCUCUGCAGUCGAGAAUCUUCGGCAAUGGGCGCAAGCCUGACCGAGCGACGCCGCGUGCGGGAUGAAGGCCCUCGGGUUGUAAACCGCUGUCAGUAGUUAGGAAGUCCAUGAGAGUUAUCUCUCAUGGUUGACCGAUCUUCAGAGGAAGGACGGGCUAAGUUCGUGCCAGCAGCCGCGGUAAGACGAACCGUCCAAACGUUAUUCGGUAUCACUGGGCUUAAAGCGUGCGUAGGCGGCUUGGUAGGUGAGAUGUGAAAGCCCACGGCUCAACCGUGGAAUUGCGUUUCAAACCCCCAAGCUCGAGGAAGAUAGGGGUGAUGGGAACUUAUGGUGGAGCGGUGAAAUGCGUUGAUAUCAUAGGGAACACCGGUGGCGAAAGCGCAUCACUGGAUCUUUUCUGACGCUGAGGCACGAAAGCUAGGGUAGCGAACGGGAUUAGAUACCCCGGUAGUCCUAGCCGUAAACGAUGAACACUGGGUUGAGGGGACUUCCACAUCCUCUCGGCCGUAGCGAAAGCGUUAAGUGUUCCGCCUGGGGAGUAUGGUCGCAAGGCUGAAACUCAAAGGAAUUGACGGGGGCUCACACAAGCGGUGGAGCAUGUGGCUUAAUUCGAAGCAACGCGAAGAACCUUAUCCAGGGUUUGACAUGUAUGGAUUAACUCCUUGAAAGAGGAGCCACACCUUCGGGUGGAACAUACACAGGUGCUGCAUGGCUGUCGUCAGCUCGUGCUGUGAAGUGUCGGGUUAAGUCCCUUAACGAGCGCAACCCUUAUCGCUAGUUGCUAACAGGUAAUGCUGAGGACUCUAGUGAGACUGCCGGUGUCAAACCGGAGGAAGGUGGGGAUGACGUCAAGUCCUCAUGGCCCUUAUGUCCAGGGCUACACACGUGCUACAAUGGCCGGUACAAAGAGUCGCAAUGCCGCGAGGUGGAGCCAAUCUCAAAAAGCCGGUCUCAGUUCGGAUUGGAGUCUGCAACUCGACUCCAUGAAGUCGGAAUCGCUAGUAAUCG